rnacentral:misc_RNA from 1 species
GAAAUGCGAUAAGUAAUGUGAAUUGCAGAAUUCAGUGAAUCAUCGAAUCUUUGAACGCACCUUGCGCUCCUUGGUAUUCCUUGGAGCAUGCCUGUUUGAGUAUCAUGAAAUCUUCAAAGUAAAUCUUUUGUUAACUCAAUUGGUUUCUACUUUGGUAUUGGAGGUCUUUGCAGCUUCACACCUGCUCCUCUUUGUUCAUUAGCUGGAUCUCAGUGUUAUGCUUGGUUCCACUCGGCGUGAUAAGUUAUCUAUCGCUGAGGACACUGUAAAAGGUGGCCAAGGUAUAUGCAGAUGAACCGCUUCUAAUAGUCCAUUGACUUGGACAAUACUUUUAUGAUCUAAGCUCAAAUCAGGUAGGACUACCCGCUGAACUUAAGC